GUACGGAAUAGCUUCUGGAAGCGGAAGGUAAUAGCGUAUACGUCCUGUGGGUCGUAUAUUUACUGCUGGAUGAUCGGGCCGCGUAAUAUCAGGUUGUUGGUGAGGUGGUGGCUCACCGUGGCGACCAUCUAUUGCUGGUCUGAGAUGAUCAUCCGCCAUGCUGGGUACUGAGACGCGGCCCAGUACCUCCUACGGGAGGCAGCUGUGGGGAAUCUUGCACUGUGGGCGAACGCCUUAUGCAGCCAUGCCGUGUGAAUUAUGAGGGCCCUAGGGUUGUAAAAUUCUCACAUCAGGGACGAUUGUGACGUGUCCUGAAGAAGAAGCCCCGGUUAUCUUCGUGCCAGCAGCCGCGGUAAUACGAAGGGGGCUAGCGUUGUUCGAAAUUACUGGGCGUAAAGCGCGCGUAGGCGGACUAUUAGGUCAGAUGUGAAAUCCCGGGGCUCAACCUCGGAACUGCUUUUGAACCUGUUAGUCUAGAGGCCAGGAGAGGUUAGUGGAAUUGCCGAUGUGUAGAGGUGAAAUCCGUAGAUUUCCGGUGGAACACCAUUGGCGAAGGCGACUGACUGGACUGUUACUGCCGCUGAGGUGCGAGUGUGUGGGGAGCACCCUGGAUUAGAUCCCCUGUUUUUCCACCCCGUANACGAUGAGUGCUACUUGUCGGCAGGCAUGCCUGUCGGUGACGCAGCUAACGCAUUAAGCACUCCGCCUGGGGAG
rnacentral:rRNA from 1 species